UACGGGGGGGGUAAGCGUUGUUCGGAAUUACUGGGCGUAAAGGGCUCGUAGGCGGCCAACUAAGUCGGACGUGAAAUCCCUCAGCUUAACUGGGGAACUGCGUCCGAUACUGGAUGGCUUGGAUUUGGGAGAGGGAUGCGGAAUUCCAGGUGUAGCGGUGAAAUGCGUAGAUAUCUGGAGGAAUACCGGUGGCGAAGGCGGCAUCCUGGACCGGCAUUGACGCUGAGGAGCGAAAGCCAGGGGAGCAAACGGG
rnacentral:rRNA from 1 species